CCUCUGACUCCUUUGCAACUUCCCCCAUUACAACAUCUUCCUUUGACUCCUCUACAUCUUUCUCCUUCAUAGCCUCCUCUUUUGACUCCACUAUAUCUUCCUCCUUGACAAUAUCUUCCUUUAAGUCCUCUGCAUCUUUCUCCAUUGUAGCAUCUUCCUUUAGGUCCUGUAGACCUUUCUCCUUGACAGGAUCUUCCUUUGAGUCCUCAGCAUCUUCCUCCUUGACAAUAUCUUCCUUUAAGUCCUCCGUAUCUUUCUCCUCUGCAGCAUCUUCCUUUAGGUCCUGUAGACCUUCCUCCUUGACAGGAUCUUCCUUUGAGUCCUCUGCAUCUUCCUCCUUGAGAGGGACUUCCUUUGAAUCCUCUGUAUCUUCCUCCUUGACAUGAACUUCCUUUGAGUUCUCUGUCUCUUCCUCCUUG
rnacentral:lncRNA from 1 species